UGCACAGAGCCCCUUCAAAAUCUAAUUAGAAUCAAAUAAUAAUGUGGAAUUGUAGAAUUAAAAGGGACACUAUAGUCACCAAAACCACUACAGCUUAACGUAUGGGACUGGUGUCUACAGACAGUCAAUGCAGUAUUUUAAAUGUAAAAGUCGAAUUGGUAGAGAAAAUGCAGUGUUGACAUUGUUCUCUAGUAACACCUCCAAGUGCUGUCACUCAAACGUACACUAG